GAUGAACGCUGGCGGCGUGCCUAAUACAUGCAAGUCGAGCGAACAGAUGAGGAGCUUGCUCCUCUGACGUUAGCGGCGGACGGGUGAGUAACACGUGGAUAACCUACCUAUAAGACUGGGAUAACUUCGGGAAACCGGAGCUAAUACCGUAUAAUAUAUUGAACCGCAUGGUUCAAUAGUGAAAGACGGUUUUGCUGUCACUUAUAGAUGGAUCCGCGCUGCAUUAGCUAGUUGGGAAGGUAACGGCUUACCAAGGCAAGGAGGCGUAGACGACCUGAGAGAGUGAUAGGCCACACUGGAACUGAGACACGGUCCAGACUCCUACGGGAAGCAGCAGUAGGGAAUCUGACGCAAUGGGCGAAAGCCUGACAGAGCAAAGCCGCGUGAGAGAUGAAAGUCUUCGGAUCGUAAAACUCUGUUAUUAGGGAAGAACAAAUGUGUAAGUAACUAUACACGUCUUGACGGUACCUGAUCAGAAAGCCACGGCUAACUACGUG
rnacentral:rRNA from 1 species